rnacentral:rRNA from 1 species
UACGUAGGGGGCAAGCGUUGUCCGGAAUCAUUGGGCGUAAAGCGCGUGUAGGCGGCCAGGUAAGUCCGUUCUGAAAGCCCGGGGCUCAACCCCGGGAGGCGGAUGGAUACUGCUUGGCUCGAGUCCGGAAGAGGUGAGUGGAAUUCCCGGUGUAGCGGUGAAAUGCGCAGAUAUCGUGAGGAAGACCAGUGGCGAAGGCGGGUCUCUGGACAGUUCCUGACACUGAGGCACGAAGGCCAGGGGAGCAAACGGG